rnacentral:rRNA from 1 species
GACGAACGCUGGCGGCGUGCUUAACACAUGCCAGUCGAACGGAAAGGCCCUGCUUUUGUGGGGUGCUCGAGUGGCGAACGGGUGAGUAACACGUGAGUAACCUGCCCUUGACUUUGGGAUAACUUCAGGAAACUGGGGCUAAUACCGGAUAGGAGCUCCUGCUGCAAGGUGGGGGUUGGAAAGUUUCGGCGGUUGGGGAUGGACUCGCGGCUUAUCAGCUUGUUGGUGGGGUAGUGGCUUACCAAGGCUUUGACGGGUAGCCGGCCUGAGAGGGUGACCGGCCACAUUGGGACUGAGAUACGGCCCAGACUCCUACGGGAGGCAGCAGUGGGGAAUAUUGCACAAUGGGCGGAAGCCUGAUGCAGCAACGCCGCGUGCGGGAUGACGGCCUUCGGGUUGUAAACCGCUUUCGCCUGUGACGAAGCGUGAGUGACGGUAAUGGGUAAAGAAGCACCGGCUAACUACGUG